GAUCCUGAGGAGCCAGUCGCGGGCUGGCGCGGGCGCAGGGCUGGCUGGCGGUUGAGACCGCGGCGGUACUGGGAGGGGUAGGUGAGGGUCGCGAGGCUGCCUGAGCUUCUGAGUGAGCAUGGCGCUUUUGGAACGUGGGACUGGCGACCUGCUGCGCCAGGAGCUGGGCCGAGGCGCGGAGGCGCGGCUGCCGGCUGCUCUCUGGAUGGGAAGUUACCACGAAGUCCACCCAGCGUUUCCGAGGCAAUCUGAAGGCAAAUUCUGUUUCGAGCCAGGCGAAGGUUCCUGGUGAUCCAGGCUCUCACCAGCCGAUUGUCCCUUCCUGUCUUCCUGAGGGUGUCUGGAGCUUCAGUGUUGUGUGCUCUUGGCCUCCACGCUGGGGUGCCACCGACUCCCACUGUCCAGGGCUUCCGGUGGACUCUCCGAGGCACUGAUGCAGAAACUUCCCCAUUCGGUGCACCAAGAGGAGCCUCACACGGUGUGGGCCGAUAUGAGGAGCUGCCAGAUCCAACAGGUCCUGGCGGAGUGGGAGCCAGUGCAAGGAGAGAAGUCCAGUGAGAAAGGCAAAUGGAUGACAUCAGACCCAGGGGCUGAGGCCACUAACUGCAGCCAGGUAACUUCUGGAGUGGACAAGGAUCGGUAGGGACGGUCGUUGCCUGGUGUUCUGGGGUCCACUAUCUCCUCUCAUUCUUGUGGGCAGAACUUAUCCAAAGAUAAGACUCAGUGCCUCUGGCAAUAGUGGGCGAGAGAAUGUGUUUCAGAGGAGGAGGAAGGGGUUGUACCCCAUGGACAGUAUAUGGUUUUACAGUAGUGUGUCUUUCU